GACGAACCGUGCGAACGUUGUUCGGAAUUACUGGGCGUAAAGCGCACGUAGGCGGAUUUGUAAGUCAGGGGUGAAAUCCCGGGGCUCAACCUCGGAACUGCCUUUGAUACUGCAAAUCUCGAGUCCGGAAGAGGUGAGUGGAAUUCCUGGUGUAGCGGUGAAAUGCGCUGAUAUCAGGAAGAACACCCGUGGCGAAGGCGGCUCUCUGGGACGGUACUGACGCUGAGACGCGAAAGCGUGGGGAGCGAACAGG
rnacentral:rRNA from 1 species